ensembl:lncRNA
ACAUUACUCAGUCCCUGGGACUUCGCAGCUGCUCUAGGUGGAGGAGCCUGUCAAGCUGCAUCAGUCAUAUCCGGGCUGAAAGAGCCGAGUCUUGAUGCUCUCAAAGACUGGAGUUUGCUUUGUAUGUGCUUCUAAAGGGUAUCCAGGCUCAAGAAUCCGAAGGGAAAGUUGGGUUGAACAUCGAAAGAACACUUUAAGUGGUAUUGUUUUCUUCCUGUGGGGAAUUAAAUUGCAAAGGUUAGCAGAGACUGUUGAAGACACACGGAAAAGUCACAGUUGGCGAGGCACUUACCCCACUGUGCACACACAUUCAAGCGUGAUUGGUUCUUCGCAUGCCCUUUGCCAACCCAGGCUGCUUUAAAAUUCCUUCCAAGGAAGUACUCCGUGCCUGGUACCACUCUGCAAACAAAGUUCUACUAAGGUUUUAAAACAAUGAGACAAAGAAGGCUGCGAAGGUGAACCCCAACACGACAGCCCCGCUGCUGCCUGUGGUCUGGCUGCUGAAGGUCAGAGAGGACAAGCGGUCUCGAAGAUGCAGCCGUCUGCACCACUCCUGCCAGGGCCAGCAACCCUGGGAAAUCGGCCUGUAAAAUGAGCAGCUCCUGUUCAACAGCACACUCCCAGCUGCUCCCCACCUCCAUGGCUGCCGUUGGACAUGACAGAGCAGCAGGCCCAGCCCGGCUCGGCUCUCACUGCUGAAGACCUGGCGGGAGCCCAGGCUGGCAGGCACAGUGGGCAGAAGCCUCAUGAGCAGUCCAGGGUGGCACCGCCAUGCUCCUACCUGCACCGUCUCCUCCACCUUUGGCUGGAUGAACUGUACCUGCUGAACACCGGAUUUCAAGAAGUGUGCCUGGCUGACAUAUCGAAUAGCACUCCUCAGCCUGUUUAAUCUAAAUUGACUGCAUCUUUGUAGCAGCUGGCCACAGAGAAAAACAAAAGAAUUCUUGAUGAAAAAGGCACUUCUCUCCUGACUCAAGGCAGCCACAGCAGCAGCUAAACAUUUCAUAGCAUGCUACACACUGCUGUUCAGAUGUGGACAUUGGGAGGGAAGGAAAAAAUGAACUUUACAGAAGUGAAAUGUGCGUUAAUUAACAAGUUAGGGUUUUCUCCCCCACCCUGGAUGGAGAGAAAUGAGAAACGUAUUAAUGUCUGGUUCUUUAUACUUUCCAAGAUUUCUUCAGCGUUUCCUAAUUAAAAUGUAGCUGGAAAAUGAACACAGGGGAGAGGGUGGUAAACAGGGGUGGGGGUCUGUCUUCCUGGUGCUUUGUCUGGAGUCCCCAGCCUCCCACCAGCAGGGAUCUGCCCUCCCACGCGCAGACACUCCCAUCCAUGUCUGUGCGUGUUUCCUUCCUUGAGUCCCGUCAGGAGGUUGCCCACAUCAUCUGCACGGCUACUCAGCAUCCUCUGUUUUUGCCAGCUCAGGGAACAACUCCAAGGCCCACAGCAGACCAGCAGACACACUUGAGAUCCCUGUGGCCUCUGGAUCACCCCUCUCCACUCACAGCUCCUGACUUAUGUCACUUUAAAAGGGGUGGGGGAUGUCCUACCUGUUCUUGGACACCCUUGAUGUGUAAAAGCCACAGCUCCACGCAAUAACCCAUGAUUGGCUUGGGCUGGUGAAUGACAAGGGCAUUCUGAUACCUUUCCCC